ACACUGGAGAGCCUCUUGGUGCUGGCUAUACACAGAGAUAGAAGGGAAGCCCGCCCAGUUGUUUUGUGGAUACAGGGACCCAAUGCUCUGUGCUCCUAUGCCCCCCUGUGGGCCAAUAUCCAAAGACCUUGAGUGCAAGGAGCUACUGACAACGAACAAUACUUAUGGACUGCCCGAAGAACAGUGGACCUUGGCGUGGGCCGGGUAACCCACUAGUUCAUAGUCAUCCCUGACUGCCCCCAUCCCUUGCUCAUGAGAAAAUUGCUCUCCAAAUUGGCUUGCGUGGGCUGAAAUGGCUGGAUGAGGCCAUGUGUAUACAUAUCUAUAGACUGUGUAUGUGGAGCUUAAGACCUGUCUCAGUACACCAGUAACUGAUGCUGGGAGUUGAAUGGCUUAGUGCUUUUCUGCCUGAAACACACCGUUCCUGCCAGCCGGGCACUAACAAUUAUCACCCAAUCCAGGACUUAAACUGUGAUAGAGUGGCUGAUAGAGUGUCCAAAGAUGGGACCACUGGUCAGCUGCCAUGGACUAGAUUCUCCACCGGUUGGGGACAAUCUGGUCACCUUGCUGCCCAAUCCGGACCUGGAGCCACCACAGCACGAGUGUCAAACACUGACAGAAGCACAUGGGUGGAGGAAAGACCUGUGCGACUGGCUGAUUGACCCCUGCUGAAAGCCGAGGACCUUGUCCACAGACGGGAACAGUUCUCUUCAUGAAUAAAGGUCAGAGAUAAGUGGGUGCUGCCAUGGUGGACAACACAAUGUCAUCUGGGAUGGCUGAACCUCUAUCCCCCCAGCACAUCAGCGCCACAGAUGUCUUUGCCAUCUCUUAGAUGCCCUGAUGAAGCCAACAACUGUGAGUACUAUUCAUUGCUCAGGAUAUCAGGAGGGAAGUGAUUCAGUGACAUGGGACAAUAACAAAACAGAUAAAGUGGCUAUGCAGGAGCCUAUCCUGGUUACAGGCCUACAAGAAACAGCCACUGAGAACUAGGAUCGGACUAAGGGAUGGCCUCACUUAGAAUGUACAACAGAAGAAAAGGCCCAAGUUGUUUAAAAGAUAAAAGGACAAUGACACACUUGGGGAGAAAGCUGUACCCCCCCCCCCAGAGAACAAACAAAAGACUCACUUUGCCAAAUAAAAAAAUAGACUCAUUUAAGAGAUAAGUUUGUCCAAAUAGUUAAAAUAUAUAUAAUAGACUUUAAGAUUUUAGCCAAGAGAGACAAUAAAAAAGUAUAAAAUACGUCAAUAAAUAAAUGCUUAACAAACAAAC
rnacentral:lncRNA from 1 species